rnacentral:lncRNA from 1 species
ACAAAAGCAGAGAGUAACCAUGAAAGGUCACUUACAUUAAUAAUUGCACGGCAACUACAAUCACAGAGUCACAAAGGAUAUAGAAAAUUUUCGAGUCCAGGCUCCACCCACACCCAUAAAUAACUCCGAGGAUAGUGCGUCUACAACGUGUUAAUGCAAGUCCGUUCACAACACAGACGAGGAUACGGCUGGACAGUAGCCCUGUGUGCGCGAAUAUCCCUCUCAUUUGCAAAUACUAGCAAGUGCGCCCGUUUGAUGCUGCGGGUUUUGAAAUUGAGUUAAAUGCAUAUAAAAUCGUAAAAAUAUGUAGGAAAUAUGGCUUUGUUUAUAUGCAUAUUGAGAUCUAAAUAGCGGCAUCGUGCUUAGUUUAGUACGGUUAAGUUACUAAAAAUAAAUUAAUAAGAUGAUAUAUGUGUUGCUUGUUAUGUUAAAAUAUUGGCCCUAUUUAUAUAUAAAUUGAGAUUUAAACAGUGCCAACUAACAUGUUUUAUAUAAAAUAUUAUGCAUAUUUUAAUAUAUCAAGCAGCUAUUAAAACAUCAAAAUAUGAGCAGCCUUGAGUUGCAUAUUGUUCAAAAAAAUUUGUACAGGCAUUUAUCUAUAUUUUAAUGGGUGGUGGGCAUGCAUUUUGCCUUUUUGAUGUUUCUUGCGAGGGCAUCUAGCUGUUUCUGCUAGGGGUGGGCGCGGUCCGGUUCGGUCCGGUUCUCACCUCAAACCGGAACCGAACCGGUACUAUUUAACCGGUCCGGUUCGGUCCGGUUUAAGCAAAAAAAAUUUCAAAAACCGGCCGGUCCGGUUCUAACCGGUUCCGGUCCGGUUCUGACCGGUUCCGGUUUUGAACCGGAUUAUUAAUUUUUUAUUUUUUUUAUUUUGUUUAAAAAAAAAAUUUUUUUUUUUAAAUUUUUUUAUUAAAAAAAUUAUAAUAAAUAACUUAUUUUUUUAGCUUAAAAAUGAACAAAUAAUCCAAUUCAUACAUUUAGAAAAUUUUUGAAGUUGAACUUGGAAAAUUAGUGAUUAUAAAAGUUAAAAUAUGGCAUUAGAUUUUAAAAUUUUGUAAAAAUAUAAAUAUAAAAUAUAUGACCGGUCCGGUUCGGUCCGGUCCGGUGCGGAGAGAUGUAAAACCGGAACCGGAACCGGUUGGAACCGGUUCGGUCCGGUUCCGGUCCGGUUUGUUGACUUUUUUGGUCAACCGGUUUUUUUUCCGGUUUUUUUCCACCGGUUCGGUUCGGUUUUCCGGUUUUCCGGUCCGGAUGCCCACCCCUAGUUUCUGCAUUUGUUGUGUAGCUGGCUGAUGUUCUUCUCCAUUCAAGAGGUUUUAACUCUGAUGGAUAAACAGUAUAAGGUCAAUUUUAUUGAAUCAAUUGAAAAUAAACUGAAAAUAAUUGUGACAAUUUUAAUAGAAUCAACUCAAGAGGUGUUGACCCUAUUGGUAUAAACUUGGUAAACGGUAGGUGUCAGUGUCGACAAAUGAGAAAAUUUUAGCAAAAAGCUAUUGUUAUAGAAUUAAGGCCAACAACAAAUACUACACAAACCACAAUUUAAAUGAUCUAAAAAUAUCUAAUAACCUAUAAACAGAAAUAAGAUGAUCUAGUGGAGAAGUAAGCUAGAGAAGCAGCAAUGAUGUAUAAACAACUUUAUGUUAUAGAAGUAGAAUAAAGGUUAUAGUUUUGUUAAUUAUAUUUAAAACAUUUAAUAACGAUGUUUCAAACUUCGACCAACAGAUCAAUAGCUGGGAAGGGAAAAAAACUUUCAUGAAUUAAACUAUUAUUUCUUAAUUACAUCUAUAGCCUAAUGAAGCAAAAUGGACACACACCAACAAUAGCACAACUAUAGAAAUAAGAAUUUUCAAAAAACGCAAUAUCCAAAAACUAAUUAAACAGAGCUUCUAUAUCCUAACCAAGCAAAACAGAUGUAAUCAAUAACAUUAAAUGACUGUGUGACUCCAUGAUACCACAAACAAAAAUUAGUGCAACCCCAACUCCUCUUACACUUCUAAACCUCAGACAAAGAAGCUCUCUGCAUGGUUAAAUUUUAUCUCCAUUGAAAUGUGUUUUGUUUUUUGCCAAUUUGUUCCAGAUAAUAGAGCUAGUGUUCAAACUUAGAAAGAGAGAAGAAUUAGAAUUCAGAUAUUGGAGGUAGUGUUCAAACUUUGAACAUCUCUAACAUGACAUCACCAACCCAUCAAUCAAAACUGCAUAAAAAAUAGCCCAAAAAAAACAGAGAAAAUUGCACCAGGAUCCAUGAUCCAUCUAUUUAUAAUUACUGUCACUCUAUAUAUUAGCUUGCUUUCAGAGCCUUCAACUGUCGAAUGAACAUCAAACCACUAAAAGAAAGAAAGUCUCUUGACAAAAAAUCUCCCAGUCAACAAACAAAUUCUUCAGAGGAAGACCAAAAUAUCUGUUAAAAAGUUUACGGGAUGCAUACCUGAAGACAAACGAUGCAAUGGACAACCAAGGGACAAAUCUCUAAUUGAAAACCUCUCAGACGAACUUUGGAAUGGCUGAACGAACUACAGGAGAGAUGAGAUGAAGACUAAACGAACGGUGAGAUUCGCAAAGCGCCAUCCAAAUGGAAAUCGACGCCCCAAACGAAUCCCGAAGACCGAAGCCGUGCAUCCCAUGGCGGCCCCCCAACCAGCCUAACCAAGCUGGUUGGAUGCAGACGAUCGCCCUGUAGAAAAGUAACAGUGGGAAGAGUUGGCAUCCAAAGAGAGAGGGGCAAAAAGGGAACAUCAGGAAAAAAUUUAGAAAGGGCAAAAUAGACAAUUUACUGUAUUGUUGGGAAAGUAUAAGGCUGUGUAACACUGAAACGGGGUUUUUUCUGACAUUUCACUGCUCAACUUAUGAAUAGUAUCUAUCUUGUUGCAUUGGGCUUUAGUAUAUAUAGAAUUUUGCUUUUGCUUUUGCUUUUUUUUUUUUUUUUUUUUUGGGGUAACA